UACGUAGGGGGCAAGCGCUAUCCGGAUUUACUGGGUGUAAAGGGAGCGUAGACGGCAAGGCAAGUCUGAUGUGAAAACCCAGGGCUUAACCCUGGGACUGCAUUGGAAACUGUCUGGCUCGAGUGCCGGAGAGGUAAGCGGAAUUCCUAGUGUAGCGGUGAAAUGCGUAGAUAUUAGGAAGAACACCAGUGGCGAAGGCGGCUUACUGGACGGUAACUGACGUUGAGGCUCGAAAGCGUGGGGAGCAAACAGG
rnacentral:rRNA from 1 species